UUGCUCGUUCUCCUCUCCUCCACCGCCUCUGACGCGACCUCUUCAGAUCUCGCGACCUCCGGCACCAAGAACACUGCGGGCUCCUCUUCAAACUCCAUCCUAUACGGCUGCUGCGGUCACUGAAGCUGCUGCUGCCCGGGGGGGUAUCGUCACAUAGCUCCCCUUCUUCCAACAACAUGGGACCAGGGAUCAAGACAAACAGCUGACACUUCAAAUGCCUCUUAAUCAGAUGGAUGGAUGAAUAGAUUUCCAAUCCCCAAAGCAUACAUGCAGGAAGAAUAAGCACACAGAUCUAGAGCUCUACAUAUAAAAAUUCAAAUUUAUAAAAAAAAAGGUUAUUGACUUAUCGAUUUCCUGGAAUUUUCGCUUAAAAUUAUGGUUAGGGUGAUGUUCCCCUGUUCGGUUUAAUCAGCAAGUCUACACGACAUCAUGGCCCAACGCAGUCGGGACCUACAGCCUACUCUUCUUUGGAAGUCUUCGGUUACGGAUAAAGGGGCCGACUGGUCGUAGAGCCGAUAAUCAGAAGUUAGAACCAACACCUCGCA